GCCGCGGUAAUACGAAGGGGGCUAGCGUUGCUCGGAAUUACUGGGCGUAAAGGGCGCGUAGGCGGAUAUUUAAGUCUCACUGUGAAAGCCUGCGGCUCAACCGCAGGAGGCCAGGGGAUACUGGAGGGCUGGAGAUAGGUAGAGGCGAGCGGAAUUCCGGGUGUAGCGGUGGAAUGCGUAGAGAUCCGGAAGAACACCAGAGGCGAAGGCGGCUCGCUGGACCUCAUCUGACGCUGAGGUGCGAAAGCGUGGGGAGCGAACA
rnacentral:rRNA from 1 species